rnacentral:rRNA from 1 species
UCCGUAGGCGGUGUGGCAAGUCGGUAGUGAAAUCUCUCGGCUUAACUGAGAGGCUGCUGCCGAAACUGCCAUGCUCGAGUGCGAGAGAGGCGAGUGGAAUUGCGGGUGUAGCGGUGAAAUGCGUAGAUAUCCGCAGGAACAUCCGAGGCGAAAGCGGCUCGCUGGAUCGCAACUGACGCUGAGGGACGAAAGCUAGGGGAGCAAACAGGAUUAGAUACCCUGGUAGUCCCAGCCCUAAACCAUCAGGACUUGGGGUUUGCCCUGUACGGGGCAAGUCCCGGAGCUAACGCGUUAAGUCCUGCGCCUGGGGAGUACGGUCGCAAGGCUGAA